rnacentral:rRNA from 1 species
AGAGUUUGAUCAUGGCUCAGAACGAACGCUGGCGGCGUGGCUAAGGCAUGCAAGUCGAACGGACAUAGAUUUUGGGUAACUGAGGUCUUUGUUAGUGGCGAACGGGUGAGGAAUACAUGGAUAACGUGCCCUGGACUCGGGAAUAGCGGCGGGACUUCGGUCCCUUUGCGAAAGUGCCGGUAAUGCCCGAUGACCCCGCGGAGUCGCAUGGCUCUGCGGGCAAAGUUCAGGCGGUCCGGGAGCGGUCCAUGUCCUAUCAGCUUGUUGGUGGGGUAACGGCCUACCAAGGCGACGACGGGUAUCGGGUGUGAGAGCAUGACCCGACACAUCGGAACUGAGACACUGUCCGGACACCUACGGGUGGCUGCAGCAACGAAUAUUCCGCAAUGGACGCAAGUCUGACGGAGCGACGCCGCGUGCAGGACGAAGUCCCUCGGGAUGUAAACUGCUGUCAGGGGUGAGAAAGAAAGUGAUCAGCCCCAAAGGAAGCAUCGGCUAACUCCGUGCCAGCAGCCGCGGUAAUACGGAGGAUGCGAGCGUUGUUCGGAAUCACUGGGCUUAAAGCGCAUGCAGGCGGAACGGAAGGUGCUUUGUGAAAUCCCUCGGCUCAACCGAGGAAUGGCUGGGCAAACCGCCGUUCUUGAGGCAGGUAGAGGCGACUGGAACCUUUGGUGGAGAGGUGAAAUUCGUAGAUAUCAAAGGGAACGCCGGUGGCGAAAGCGGGUCGCUGGGCCUGUCCUGACGCUCAUAUGCGAAAGCGUAGGUAGCGAACGGGAUUAGAUACCCCG